UUUCAGAUAAAUGUUUUAUAAAUCCUUGUAAGAAUAAUGGUACGUGUGUAUACUUGUCAUUUGGAGAGUACAGGUGUGAUUGUAUGGUUGGCUGGUCCGGAGAACAUUGUGUACAAACCAAUAGUGUGCUAGAACCAAAUGAUUGCAGGAAAAUAAUUUCAAUAGUAGGUGGAACAGUUGGUGCUGUUUUUGGGCUUCAACUUGCUGUGCUUGCAAUUUUCAUCAUAUUACGAAAAUACAAAAAAGUCAAAGUGCAAAGUCGAGCAGAUUCCGACGCAGAGCUAUGAAUUGACUGCUGAUGGCGCAGCACCAGGAAUUGGCUUGACCAAAAAAUUAAUUAAUCAUGAGAGAACUAGGAACUGACUGAACGUAGAACCACAAUUUGAUUACUUAUGUCAUAAACCUAGGAAAUGACAUAAUGAUAGAUUUUCGUAUCUUUCUUAAUUGCCGUUAUCAUGGAGUGCUCAAACAUAAGGUGGCGAUCGCUAAUCGCCUAUUAAGAGUCAACCAGUAACUUUGUCAUUAGUUCGAAUGCAAAGCUGCGUUUUUCAUCUUUGAUUACAAAUUAGUUUCACUUUUCAUGGCUCAGAGCCAGUAUUGACUUCUCAUGACACAGUACAAAUAUAUUCCAGGCUAUAAAAACUGAUACAAGUAAGAUUUAAACAAUAAAUGACAUAAUAGAUAAUAUAACUGCACAGUGUUCUUUUAAUUACAAAAAAUAUGUUUGGAAUUCUUGUACAUUAAUGUUUUUUGUUUGUCUAGCAAGGUACUUAUCCAAAGAAAUUUUUCCAAUGUUAUGAACAUUACAUGGAUAAAAUAAUAACUUUACUUUCAAAUGUUAUAUUGUUUAUAUUCACCUCUGCAACCUAAUAUAAUUUAUCUUGUAAAAGUGCAAAUAUUCAAUAUAAUCUUUCAUUUCAAUUUGAAGGUAUACUUGUAGGAACAGUUAAUGGA